rnacentral:rRNA from 1 species
GAUGAACGCUGGCGGCGUGCCUAAUACAUGCAAGUCGAGCGAACGGACGAGAAUCUUGCUUCUCUGAUGUUAGCGGCGGACGGGUGAGUAACACGUGGAUAACCUACCUAUAAGACUUGGAUAACUUCGGGAAACCGGAGCUAAUACCGGAUAAUAUUUUGAACCUCAUGGUUCAAAAGUGAAAGACGGUCUUGCUGUGACUGAGAGAUGGAUCCGCGCUGCAUUAGCUAGUUGGUAAGGUAACGGCUUACCAAGGCAACGAUGCAUAGCCGACCUGAGAGGGUGAUCCGCCACACUGGAACUGAGACACGGUCCAGACUCCUACGGGAGGCAGCAGUAGGGACUCUUCCGCAAUGGGCGAAAGCCUGACGGAGCAACGCCGCGUGAGUGCUGAAGGUCUUCGGAUCGUAAAACUCUGUUAUUAGGGAAGACCAUAUGUGUAAGUAACUGUGCACAUCUUGACGGUACCUAAUCAGAAAGCCACGGCUAACUACGUG